rnacentral:rRNA from 1 species
CUACGGGGGGCACCAGUCGCGGAACUUUUACAAUGCACGCAAGUGUGAUAAAGCGAACCAAAGUGUUUUUCGUUUAGAAAAACUUUUUCUUAGUGUAAAAAUCUAGGAGAAUAAGGACUGGGAAAGACUGGUGCCAGCCGCCGCGGUAAUACCAGCAGUUCAAGUUGCAUCCCUUUUUAUUGGGUCUAAAACAUCCGUAGCUUGCCGUUUAAGUCUCUUGUGAAAUCCUACGUCUCAAGCGUGGGGCUUGCAGGGGAUACUGAGCGGCUAGAGAUCGGUAGACGUAAGGAGUACGCCGGGGGUAAUGGUCAAAUAUGUUAAUCCUCGGUGGACUAACAAUGAGCGAAGGCACCUUACGAGGACGAAUCUGACAGUCAGGGAUGAAGGCCAGGGGCGCAAAACGGAUUAGAUACCCUAGUAGUC